AUAUGUGAGGGCGAUCUGGCUGCGACAUCUGUCACCCCAUUGAUUGCCAGGGUUGAUUCGGCUGAUCUGGCUGGCUAGGUGGUUGUCCCCUUCCUCCCUCACCGCUCCCUGUGCAUCCCUCCCGAAGCUGCGUGCUCAGUCGAAGAUGACGGCCUUCCCUGAAUAGAGACUGACCGGUCAUCGGUCAGGAGUAUACAUGUAUCUGCGCUCCUCUGCUAGACUCUCCUAACAAGCUCUCAAGAAACAGACCUAUGGAGCAAAAUGGAGAGUUCGUAAGUGAAUCCAAACAUGCACGUUCACUUGAGUGACAACAAAAGUAC
ensembl:misc_RNA 7SK 7SK RNA